rnacentral:rRNA from 1 species
UUCGGGUGGGGAACUCCCAGGGAGACUGGCCGGUGAAUAAAACCGGAGGAAGGUUGGGACGACCGUCAAGUCAUUCAUGGCCCUUACGAGUAGGGGCUACCACCACGUGCUACAAUGGGCGUAUUACAGGAGGGGCGGGCAAGGCUAGCGAUAGUGAGCGAUUCCCCACCAAAAGUAACGUCGUAGUCCGGGAUUGGAGGUCUGCAACUCGAACUCCCAUGAAGUCGGGAAUCGCUAGUAAUCGUGGAUCAGAAUGCCACGGUGAAUACGUUCCCCGGGCCUUGUACACACCGCCCGUCACACCAUGGGAGUGGGCUGCACCCAGAAGUAGAUAGCUUAACCUUCGGGAGGGCGUUUACCACGGUGUGGUUCAUGACUGGGGUGAAGUCGUAACAAGGUAACCGUAAAUCGAAUUGCCCGCGGCCGCCU